rnacentral:rRNA from 1 species
CGAAUGUAGCAAUACAUGGCGAACUGCUCAGUAACACGUGGACAACCUGCCCUUAGGUUGGGUAUAAACCCGGGAAACUGGGUAUAAUACCCGAUAGGUCUCGAUUGCUGGAAUGCAUCGAGAUUUAAAGCUCCGGCGCCUAAGGAUGGGUCUGCGGCCUAUCAGGUAGUAGUGGGUGUAGCGUACCUACUAGCCUACGACGGGUACGGGUUGUGAGAGCAAGAGCCCGGAGAUGGAUUCUGAGACACGAAUCCAGGCCCUACGGGGUGCAGCAGGCGCGAAAACUUUACAAUGCUGGCAACAGCGAUAAGGGAACCUCGAGUGCCAGGUUACAAAUCUGGCUGUCGAGAUGCCUAAAAAGCAUUUCAUAGCAAGGGCCGGGCAAGACCGGUGCCAGCCGCCGCGGUAACACCGGCGGCUCGAGUGGUAACCGUUAUUAUUGGGUCUAAAGGGUCUGUAGCCGGCCGGAUAAGUCUCUUGAGAAAUCUGGCAGCUUAACUGUCAGGCUUUCAGGAGAUACUGUCUGACUCGAGGCCGGGAGAGGUGAGAGGUACUUCAGGGGUAGGGGUGAAAUCUUGUAAUCCUUGAAGGACCACCAGUGGCGAAGGCGUCUCACCAGAACGGACCUGACGGCAAGGGACGAAAGCUAGGGGCACGAACCGGAUUAGAUACCCGGGUAGUCCUAGCCGUAAACGAUACUCGCUAGGUGUCGGCCACGGUGCGACCGUUGUCGGUGCCGUANGGAAGCCGUGAAGCGAGCCACCUGGGAAGUACGGNCGCAAGGCUGAAACUUAA